UCAAGCAUGAAUACAGAGAUAAGUAUCCUGCAUUUAAGAUGGCUUAUAUUAUAAAUGUAUUGUUAUAUGUGUUAGCUUGUAAUACUGUCAUGUUCUGUUUGCUAAAGCUACUGUAUGAAUGUUGAAACUUUCUACAGAAAAAAAAAAAAACUUUUAAUGUCCCUUAACUUAUUUAGAUGAAACGAUGAAGUUGCUAUUUGACAAUGGCUUCAAACAAAGAGAAAUGUGCUCUUUUCUUGCUGCUUCUCUAUACAAAAUCAGUGAAAGGCAUCUAAGAAGAAGAAUACAAUCCCUUGGUUUAAAAUGGAGGAGUUUUGACAGGCCCCAUAAUGAAAUUCACCAAGCUGUUAUGAGUGAGCUUAUGCACUGGUCACCUUGGCAAGGAAUCCGUGCAAUGCACAAAUAGGUUUCUGAUGUCAAAGGAAUCCAGCCUUGCUACAGGAAUGAUGUGGCUGUAUUAAUGAGAGAACUUGAUGCCAGUGGUCUUCUUAGAAGAUGUCCUGGAAAAAAAUAAUCGAACGCAGGAACUACUUCAGCCGUGGACCAAAU